UACGGAAGGCAGCAGUGGGGAAUAUUGCACAAUGGGCGCAAGCCUGAUGCAGCCAUGCCGCGUGUAUGAAGAAGGCCUUCGGGUUGUAAAGUACUUUCAGUCGUGAGGAAGGUGUUAAGGUUAAUAACCUUAGCAAUUGACGUUAGCGACAGAAGAAGCACCGGCUAACUCCGUGCCAGCAGCCGCGGUAAUACGGAGGGUGCGAGCGUUAAUCGGAAUUACUGGGCGUAAAGGGCACGCAGGCGGUUAAUUAAGUUGGAUGUGAAAUCCCCGGGCUUAACCUGGGAAUGGCAUUCAAGACUGGUUAGCUAGAGUCUUGUAGAGGGGGUAGAAUUCCAUGUGUAGCGGUGAAAUGCGUAGAGAUGUGGAGGAAUACCGGUGGCGAAAGGCGGCCCCUGGGACAAAGACUGACGCUCAUGUGCGAAAGCGUGGGGAGCAAACAGGGAUUAGAUACC
rnacentral:rRNA from 1 species